UAGGGAAUCUUCCGCAAUGGGCGAAAGCCUGACGGAGCAACGCCGCGUGAGUGAUGAAGGUCUUCGGAUCGUAAAACUCUGUUAUUAGGGAAGAAUAAAUGUGUAAGUAACUAUGCACGUCUUGACGGUACCUAAUCAGAAAGCCACGGCUAACUACGUGCCAGCAGCCGCGGUAAUACGUAGGUGGCAAGCGUUAUCCGGAAUUAUUGGGCGUAAAGCGCGCGUAGGCGGUUUUUUAAGUCUGAUGUGAAAGCCCCCGGCUCAACCGGGGAGGGUCAUUGGAAACUGGUUGACUUGAGUGCAGAAGAGGAGAGUGGAAUUCCAUGUGUAGCGGUGAAAUGCGUAGAUAUAUGGAGGAACACCAGUGGAGAAGGCGACUCUCUGGUCUGUAACUGACGCUGAGGCUCGAAAGCGUGGGUAGCAAACAGG
rnacentral:rRNA from 1 species